ensembl:lncRNA
AGUGGAAUGGACAUGAGAGCCAUUGACAGAUCACCAACAUGGUGAUUCAUUUGAAAGUUCACAAUGUAGUGCAUUAGCAGAAAAUGGUUGAUGUACCCUGCUUCAACUCUGAUGAACACAGGAGCUCCAGAGCCAAGCUGCAGUGCUGCAUUCCCAACUGCUCACCAGAUGUCUAAGCCAAGAUACGCCAUCAUCAGCUCAAACUCAUCAUUCUCAAACCAAACUUCUCAAUUUCUACUGCAAGCCACUCAUGACUCCUGACCUUCCUGUUUUUGUUAAACACACCACUACUCCUCCAACUCUAAAAGGACUCUUGCACUUGGACACUGUCGCAGAUGUAGGUGCCAACCCUCACCACUGCCUCCCUCCAAGGCAGCUUGAGGAUACAGGUUCCACACGUCCUACGGCUGCCUGCAUUCCUCUAGCAGCUGGAGAGCGCUGGACCUUCUCGGCCACACCAGAAGUGCCGGGGAGUUAACACCCAGGCACAAUUCUCAACAAUAGAGCAAGGGAGUUUAGUAGAUAAAUACAUCAAUUUCCCCGGCCUUUCAGUGGGCAAUUCUGAGACAAGCUCUAUGGUCUCUCACAGCUUCCUCAGGAAUACAUCUGUUUCCUGGCCCUCUUGCCUCUCCUGUGUCAUUUCCCUACUCCCUCACGAUGCUUACUGGGAUUGUCUUCCAAAGAAAUUACUUGUAGCCAAAUCCUUAUCUAAAAGACUGCUUUAGGGUAGGCAGAGGUAAUCCCAGCUAAGACAGAGGUCCUAUUAAUACUUAAAAUGUGUUACAGAUUAUAAUAAUCUCAAAACCAGCACCCCAACUCCUUCUAUCCCCUGUUAUUUUACCUUUUUGCCUUCUCUUGAGAGCUGAGUGCUACAGGGGUAGAGGUUUUUACAGACAUACUUUAUUUCUGCCCCUAGUUUUAUGGUGUCACCCCAGGUGAGUCCAUGGAUCUCUUCUGAUUCGGUGUGUGUGUGUGUGUGUGUGUGUGUGUGUGUGUGUGUGUGUGAGAUGGUUCUUUCCAGGGCUGUUUUAAGCAUUAAUAAAAUAAAGCAUGCAGAGCACCUUUUACUUUGACUUCAUCCCAUUAUAAUGCAG